rnacentral:misc_RNA from 1 species
GAGGGACUCCAACUGCGCUAGAGGGAGUCGCGUGAGUGAAAUGGUGUCCGCGGCCGACGAUAUUCAGCGUACUUGAUGCACGAAGCUUCUCGGCACACACAGCUACGAAUUCGACAACUCAUCUCUUACUCGCGAGCUGCUUAGAAGAAGCUGAACAGGAAGGAAGGAAGCAGGAAAAGGACACCUAUGCUGCUCCCUGGUAGCUGCGGCAGCGACGGCGGCGCUGCAAUCGCAGAGAGCCGCGCCGAGGUGUGUCGUUGCCGCACCACCACCACCACACCGACCAUCAGCUCAUCCGCCACGAGGUCAAGCUUUUCACACACACAGCCAUCUUACGACGCCUCCUUUGCCUUCACCCUCGUCUCAGCCGACGAUGUUUCUUUUCAUUGUUGUGUCACAGCGUACAUGUGCGCCCACUCACUGUACCUUCGAAGUGCUCGAGAUGUCGGCGCGUCGGAGGGGUCAGUGCCCGUUGGCUCCGCUCAAGCCGUGCGCGAUUACAUUGCCUACCUUCAGUACAGCGACCUUCGCAAGCAGCUCGCUGCGGAGCUGGCAAGACCCACUGCCGCGACGGGCGCUACGGCCACGGGGGCUCCUCUACCGCCAGUGGCUUCUUUGGUCGGAGUUCCGCCGCCGGAGCAUGGCCUGCGAGGAGAUGGAGCACGAAAAGUAUGCGAUACGGCGCAGUCGUGGCUGUUCCCAUGGGAUGAGGAUGAAAUAGGCCGUGACGGCGCUCAUGGCUACGCUGCACAACCCCUCGACUGCGAUCGUGCUUACACGCUUCACGCUAACCGGCUGCGGCACUGGCUCACCGCGGCGGAACUGGCCUCUUUUCGCGGGGAGACUGCUCUGGAGGAUGCAGCACUUGCACGGACGGGCGGUGGCCGUCGCGGUCGGUCACCUAUGGCGGCGGCAGCCUCGCCAGUGCCUGCAACGACGAGCGCGUCGAUGCUUCCGUUCUUUGCCGCUGAUCUUCCGCUGGAGCCGCCUCCUACAGCCGUGAACUCAGCGGACGCACCAGAGAGCGCGCACCAGCCGACCCACUCGCCGCAGAGUUUUAUUGCCACGUCAUCGUCUUCGUCGUCCGCCUCUUCCACCUCUCUUACGUCUUCCGUGUCAACAGCGUCUCUGGAGGCGCAUGAGAGCGCGGCGCGAGCUACCAGCGGCGUUGAUGGCGGCCCCCACGACCGGCGCCAACGGACAUACCUUGGCGAGGAGCUCGGUUACGGUGAGUUCGUGGCCUUGGGUGACCCGGAGGGCCUGUUUUUCAUCGAGCACGUUCUGUUGGCACACGAAACGACGCAGGGGGCGACCGCUGCGUCGACAGCGGGGGCGCGGUGGGCGAGUGACAACUCAGACAAGGUGACCGGGGACAGAGAGCAGGGUUUGACAUCGCAGAGCUCACAAGGGGUCCGCUCCGCUCCAGAAGCGUCACGGAAGACUGCCGCAAGCACGGCGGCGGCCUCUGCGGCACCGCUUCCGUCGCAUGCUGACCCGAUCGUCACAUUAACAGCGCGUCAGCAGUGCCGCCUGCUGGAGCUCAUCUCUGUUGCCGAUUUUAUGGGCACCCAGUCGCUGGUGGAGCUCUGUGCGACGUACCUGGCAGCAUGGUUGAUGAACCGCACGGACGAAGAAAUCGUUCAGUCCUUCCUCACGACGGCAGGCCCGAGUAGUGCUGCAGCCGGUGCGGGUGCGUCCUCUGCGCCAACUUCAUUCAAGGUCACGGGCGCCGCUUCCUUCAACGAGCUUUGGAUAGCGCCGUUGCUGGGAGACGACGUCGCGCCCGGCAAGUCUGGCGAGGCUACCAACAUGCCGCUUCCGUCUGCAGGUGUCACAGCCACGUCUGGGGUGGUCAAGCCACGCAUGGAGGCGGCGACAGCUGCUGCGGUGACGAAGCGGAACGCCGCCAUGCCAAAACGAGCGGGCAAACUAAAGGGCAACCAUGCCGGCUCAACAGACGCAACCGCUGCGGGGCCUUUGAAGUACGCUGGAGGCGAUAGAGGCCCCACCACUGCGUCAGCCGCCGUUGAACCUGCACACGCGCCUCUCCUGCUGACAGAUGAUCAACGACUAGUGCUCCUGCGGCAGAUGAAGCGCAACAACUCCAUUAUCGUGUCACCUUAUUGACCCUAACAACGGCGCGCGGCUGACGACGCUAGGGAUGGUGCUUCGCCGUCGCCAUGGCCGUACUCAGUGCCACUGUGGCCGUUGCUGCUCUCUCUCUCUUCAUCGUUUGUGUUGGCUGCAGGCAACACAGCUUUGAAAGCAAGCGACGGAAACCCUGCGCAUCUGAGUGGUGGGAAGGUGCAUAGGCAAGCGGCUGCGAGCGAAGUUUCCGCGCCGGAGCCUUUCCAGCCUCUCUCCUACCUCCGCGCGCCACCUUUCUCCCUCUUCGCCUUCGACCUCGUUGUCUGCGAUUGUCAUGGGCGCUUGCCCUAAUUUUUUUUGUGUUUGUUUUGGUUCUACUUGCACCCCGCUCUUCUGAUAG